rnacentral:lncRNA from 1 species
CUGACAAAUAUCCUCUGAGUAAAACUAAGGAAGGACGUCAGCUAUCAUCAGGGGGACUUGUGUGCCCCAGAGCCUACAGGGUGCUCAGGGACUGCAAGAAGAUCUUCCUUCCAGAAACAUUCAGUGGCACCUCCCCUUCUCCGACACUCUGCCGGGCCAUGGAAUUGCAGAGAAGAACGGGAGGGGGCCCUUGCCCUGAAGAACUCACAGUGAAGAUUAGAGCCAUCACCCAAAUUACAUGGACUUCAAAGAAAGCAGACCUGGAUGCAAAAUUCCACUUCUCUUACUUCCCAGUCACACGACCACAGAGUGUUCCACGUGGAAAAUGGAGUGAAGCUGCUGUCAACAACCUAGACAGGAGCAGGCCGGUGUCUCAGGAGGCAGAACAAAGGAGAAGGCACAGCUGGACUUAAGACUCCCUGUCCAGUUCAGGCCGGUUGAGACCACCAACCCAUCAAGUGGGCCUGCGCAGGUGUCCAGUAAGUGACCUUUUCAUGUCAAGAAGCUAAAAACUCCAGCCUCAGAUCACAUGCUAAUGCCACCAUUUUCUGAACAUGCCUCCUAUGAAGAGACAUGAAAUCUGACUAGGCUUGCACAAAUCCUCAGUUACCUCACCUCUCCUCACCUCCAAUCAUCUAUCUCCAUACUUCAGACCACCUUGCUCCUCUACCCCAUAAAUAUCCCUGAACCCCCACUUUUGGGGAACUUGAGGCUCAUUCUCUCGCUUCCUCACUUG